rnacentral:lncRNA from 1 species
GAAAGCAUGGAGAAUACGUACUUUUAUUUAAAUUUGGGAACUUGUAACUUGUUGAACGAAAGAGGCACCCGUCUUGCACUAAAAUUUAAAAAAAAUGGGAAAAAAAGUUGAACGUCAAAUGAAAAAAAAGGUGAAUACAGUUGCACGAAAAUUACCCUUUACCACUCCCGUUAAACUUAAGUUGGACUAGACUGUUUAAGACUUAUACAUACCUCACAGGAAAUUCAUAAGAAUGAAUUGAUGUCCAUCAUCUCUUAAGAAUGUCAUAUUUUAUUUCAUCAGUUAUUUUGGAAUCUUCAGAAAAGAUGUCAGGGUAAGGAGGCAUAGAAGACGUAACACUUGUGUUUUGACAUCCGGAGUACCCAG